UACGUAGGGUGCAAGCGUUGUCCGGAAUUAUUGGGUACGGUAAAGAGCUCGUAGGCGGUUUGUCGCGUCGAAUGAUGAAAACCCUGGGCUCAACCCCGGGCCUGCAUUCGAUACGGGCAGACUAGAGUUCGGUAGGGGAGGUCUGGAAUUCCUGGUGUAGCGGUGAAUGACGCAGAUAUCAGGAGAACACCGGUGGCGAAGGCGGUUCUCUGGGCCUGUACUGACGCUGAGGAGCGAAAAGCGGUGGGGAGCGAACAGG
rnacentral:rRNA from 1 species